UUACGGCCACAUCUCGUUGAAACAUCGGUUCCCAUAGGAUCUCCGAAGUUAAGCAACGUUGGAUCUGGUCAAUACCGAGAUAAGUGACCGCUUGGAAAUAUCAGGUGCUGUAGG